GAGUGAGCGGCAAAAGCUCAAAUUUGAAAUCUAGCACCUUCGGUGUUCGAGUUGUAAUUUGAAGAUGGUAACCUUGGGUUUGGCUCUUGUCUAUGUUCCUUGGAACAGGACGUCAUAGAGGGUGAGAAUCCCGUCUGAUGAGAUGCCCAUUCCUAUGUAAGGUGCUAUCGAAGAGUCGAGUUGUUUGGGAAUGCAGCUCUAAGUGGGUGGUAAAUUCCAUCUAAAGCUAAAUAUUGGCGAGAGACCGAUAGCGAACAAGUACAGUGAUGGAAAGAUGAAAAGAACUUUGAAAAGAGAGUGAAAAAGUACGUGAAAUUGUUGAAAGGGAAGGGCAUUAGAUCAGACUUGGUGUUUUACGAUUAUCUUCUCUUCUUGAGUUGUGCACUCGUAUUUCACUGGGCCAGCAUCGAUUCGGAUGGCAAGAUAAUGGCAGUUGAAUGUGGCUUCACUUCGGUGGAGUGUUAUAGCUUCUGCUGAUAUUGCCUGUCUGGAUCGAGGGCUGCGUCUUUUGACUAGGAUGCUGGCGUAAUGAUCUAAUGCCGCCCGUCUU
rnacentral:rRNA from 1 species